UUCAAGGGUUCCAUAUGAAUUCAUUGAUUCCAUGGAAUGUUAUAUUUAUUUUAAUUUUUUUGUUUCAGAUUGGAAGAUAUCGUUUCCGAAGUGAAAAUACUAAAAUUUUCGAUGUUAAUUAAACUGUGUUAUCUUCAGGUAUUUUAUUUAUUUUAAAUAUUUCCUUCAAUUUUAUUAGGUUCAUAGCUUGUUCUGUAUUUUUUUUCCAUGAAGUUUCUUUUAUAGUAUUUAUCAUUUAACUACUACUGUUACGUGUUUGCACAUUUGGGCAACCCAUCGGGACUCACAGUCAACUUAUGCUGAACCACGUGGCACUCAAGUCGAGGUGAUUUGCAUACCCGAGGCCCACAAUCGAGGUCCACAAAAGGUGAGGCCCAUCUAUCAUUGCCUCUUGAGGAGCUACCGAAGCCCAUAUGCCGAGGCCCUUUGAAGGUGGACGAGGCCCUGUUGGCCGAAGCUCUGUAACCGAGGUAGCAGCCUCCGAAUCAUAAAGCAGCAUCUUCCAUAGAUGCUUUUCCCAAGAGAUUCUCAGCACAAAGAUCUUAUUUGAAUGAUUGAUAGGACGUUUGUCAUGAGUGUAAAUGUUAAGUCUUAUCACUAGUAGAGGUGGCUCUGCCAAUCAAUAAAUGUAUAGCAGGCUAGGUGUGGUUGAGCUUACAGUUUGACAUGUAAAUUAACCGGAUGAGGCCACGUGUACCCCGAACCAAAGGUUACGAUCUAACUUGUGACACUAUAAAUGCUCCCCCAUGUACCCCAUACAAAGGCUAAUGCAAGAAUCAAUACAAAAAAUCAUACUUUACUCAACUCUCUAUUUCUUAAUAUCUUGCAACACAAACGAGUUCAUACAUAUUUGGAUACACGUUUACAAACAUCGAUUGGUAAUUAUUAUACAAUUAGUCAAUGAACAUCCCGUCAAAUUUCGAACGUUCUCGUCCCGCGUCGUUGAGCUAUUCCCACGCCCUCGAUCCAUCCGUUUUAGAUCGUUUACGUAUCUUAGCGUGUUGGACUUUCUCUCACGUGUGCGCGGAUGAGUUCGGCAUCUAUUGGCAACAUUUUUUGGGGUCAACAGAUUGGCGCUAUCUGUGGAAAACUAUACAAUAACCACGAACAGCCUUAUGGUGAAAGUUUAUUGAAGAGGAACAUUUAGGCACCCCCUUGAAAAAAAGAUUUGUUCUUGAAAAAGAACAAGAGGAAGCCACCAUGGCAGCCAACAUGAGGGACAUUGCUAGCCAGAACAUGGCUAUGAGGGAACUCAUGGCCCAAAUGCAAGGCCAGGGAGGCUUCCCUAUUCCUCCAUACACCCCCCAAAGGUACUACCAGCAAGAAGAUGAAGUUCAAAGUCAGAGAGUUGUCUCGUCGGACUAUAGCCGAGGUAAAAGUCCAUUUGAAAAGGAAGUGAAAGUUGAUGUUUCUUCCAACUAUGCUUCAAUGUGACCCACCGAGAUCCCUUUGAACCAUGAUAACUUCCCACCUCCAUAUGAGCAAGAGCGAAGACAUAGGAGGUCAGAUAGUGUAUUUGACAGAAUCAACCCUACAGAACUGAGGCCUAGGUAACAACAGCUGGAAGAAAGGCAUGAAAAUGCCCCCCGUGCUGCACUGCCUAGAAAUAGGCGCCAAAGGAGGGAAGAGGAGAUUAGGAACUGUCCCGAAACCUCUCACCAACCACCAAGAUAUGAGGCUGAAGAAAACGAUUCAGAUGAGCAGCAGAUGUCCUAUGACUUGGACGAUGAUGAUGAAAACCUGCUAUCUUGAGGAAACUAAGGAGUGCCCAGGUCUCGAACCACUACGUUAUGCCCAAGAUACCAAAUUAUGAUAGAAGAGGUGACCCUGAGAAGCACCUGAACGAUUACAAAACUCACAUGAGCCUAAGGGACGCCAUCCCAGCUGUGAAAUGCAGAGCUUUUCACUUAACAAUUAGCGGAACAGCUGAAAUUUGGUAUAGUGGGUUAACACUUGGGAGCAUAAGAAGUUGGCCCGAAUUCAAGACUACCUUCUUGAAGAGGUUCGUUGUGAGCAAAGAGAGAGAGGCUCCCAUCCAACGUCUCCAAGAUAUAGGACAGGCACAUGGGGAGUCCCUAAAGAGCUUCCUGUCAUGCUCCAUUGAUGAGAUGACGUACUGUGUGCAAGUCACUGAUCGUGAGGCGUUAUCUGCACUGAGAGGAGGCCUGAACAUGAACACCCUGUUUUGGAGAGACGUGCAAAAUCAAGACCCCACCACCUAUGACGCCCUACUCGAGAUGAGGAGAUGGGAGAUCAUCAAUGAAGAAUUGAUUGAGCAUAGGAACAGGGCAAGUAGAAGCCUCCCACCUUAACAAAGACAGCGUGCUAGAGGGCCGACCUCCCACUUGAUGGAUUAUCAAAUGAACCAAGCUGGUAAUGAGAGUUCUAGGCAAGCACUUGUCACCACCACUCUGAAUGCAGUUCUAACCUUAGCAUAUGAGGACAUCAACUCAGUCACUAACACCCAACAGAUGGGAACUCCGCAAGGAUCCCGCAGGGGGAGAGGUCGAGGUCGGGGUUCGGGACCUAGAAAUAGGUCAAAUUCGAACCUCCCUGGAUACUGCAUAUACCACCGGUCAUGUGGUCACGAUACAACAAACUGUCGAGACUAUACUAACCGUACCCAACAAGAACCUCCUAGGGAUAGAAAUGAAUCACCCUAGGCGAAUAGGCCUUCACCUAGGUAUGACAACCGACCUGGGCGUGAAGAGGGCGCUCCCCAUCAAAGGAUAUUUCCCCGCGACGAAGGGAGCAUGAUACAGAGAGGCCCACGGAAGGGCACAGACAUCGAAGAAAUCGGCAAACUCAGGAUGAGGCCCCUGUCCACGAGGUGGAUACCAUAUUUGGAGACCCAUAUAUGGGCGGUGAAACGCGGAACGCUAAAAGGAAUUACGCCUGUGAGGCUAAAUUUCCCCUGUUUACCAGCUAUAUUGUGGACCACAUCUCCCGGAUGAAUCUUCACCCAGGAGGAUGCUGAAGGAAUUCACUACCCCCACUGCAAUGCAAUUGUGGUGAGAGCUGUCAUAGCUCGAAAUGAGCUCAAACGAAUGCUAGGUGACAACAGUAGCUUUGUCAACAUUCUAUUCGAGUCCACCUUCGACAAGAUGAUACUGGACCAUGAGUUGAUGCCCACCACCACUCCUUUGUACGGAUUUACCAGAGAUAGAAUCACUCUGAGAGGAAAGAUCACCCUUGUAGUGGAGAUGGGGGAGUCUCCCCAAACUACAAUGAACUUUAUGGAGUUUUUUAUUAUUGACAGUCGAUCGGCCUACCAUGGAGUAUUGGGUAGGCCAGCUCUAAAGGAAUUGGGAGCCGUCACCUCCAUCCACCAUCUAUGCAUGAAAUUCCCGACAAAAAAUGGGGUGGAAAUGGUGAGAGGUGAUCAAAGAGGCUCGAGAGAGUGCUAUCUAGGCUCCAUUAGAAAGGUAGAGCCCCGGGACGUCCAUGUGAUCAUCGUCGACAUAGUCAUGGCUGAUGUCCCAGGUGAUGCUCCCUCCAAACCGAAAAAUGUGGAAAUGAUCGACACACCACCCAUUCCGAAAGUAUUGGUCAUCGAUGAGAUUGACCCCGCAUAAUUGAACACGAAUCUCAAGCAUCCCUAGUUGAAGAACUUGAAAGCUUCUUGGUGGACCCCCGAGACCUAUCCAAAUUGUUGAAAGUGGGAAAAGGCUUGUCCAACAGUUUGAAAGAAAAGAUCAAGGAUUUCCUAUGUAGGAACCUUGAUGUCUUUUCUUCGAGGCAUGAGGAUAUAGUAGGCAUAGACCCCAAGGUCAGUUGCCACCACUUGAAAAUUGAUCCUAAGGUUGCCCUGCACAGACAAAAGAGGAGCCCUCAACCCUGAGAAGUAUGAGGCCCUAAAGGAAGAAGGUCAGAAGCUCAUCUAAAAUGGCUUCAUCAGAGAGGCCACCUAUCCGAGGUGGGUCUCCAACCCGGUUUUAGUGAAGAAACACAACGGAAAAUGGAGGGUAUGAAUUGAUUUCACUAACCUCAACAAAGCUUGCCCGAAGGACAGCUUUCCACUCCCAAGGAUUGACCAACUAGUAGACUCCAUGGCUAGGCACGAGUUGUUGAGCUUUAUGGACGCAUACUCCGGCUACAACAAAAUUCCCAUGCACCCGACUGAUGAGGAACACACCUCUUUUAUCACAGACAGAGGCCUUUAUUGCUAUAAGGUGAUAUCCUUCGGGUUGAAAAAUGUCGGGGCCACAUAUCAAAGGCUCGUCAACAAAAUGUUUGUGAACCUCAUCGGCAAGACAAUGGAGGUCUACGUAGAUGACAUGAUUGUGAAAAGUUUGGAAGCUGGGGACUACGUGACGUACCUCAACAACACCUUACAAAUCUUAAGAAGGUAUAGGAUGAUGCUCAACCCCCUCAAGUACGCUUUCAGGGUUGCCUCCGAAAAAUUCUUACGAUACAUGGUCAACCAACGCGAAAUUGAAGCCAACCCUGAGAAGAUUGAGGCCUUAUGCAAGAUAAGGUCCCCCUAAAAGCCAAAGGAGAUACAAAGCUUGACUGGGCGAGUGGCCACAUUUAGUUGCUUCGUCUCCAAAGUUACAGACAAAUGCCUCCCAUUUUUCAAAGUGUUGAAAGCUGGGAAGAAGUUCUAAUGGACCGCGAAAUGUGAAAAGGCCUUCCAGGCCUUAAAAGGCACCUAGGGCAGGCUCCCUCCUCUCCAAACUGAAGCUCGACAAGAUUCUUCAACUGUAUUUGGCCGUCUAUGGGUCACCUCGCUUGAACUCCAAGGCACACGCCACUUGCCUCCCUUUGGAGAGGCUGAUCAUCACUGGGAGAAGUCUCAACAUGGAUGAAUCAUCCACCAUGUUGGAAAGCGUCGUUACCUCGGACGAGAGGUCAGCGCCAUCUUUUGGCUGCCUUCUUGAACUCCGAGCCACACGCCACUUACCUCCCUUUGGCGAGGCUGAAUGCCACUGGGAGAAGUCUCAACAUGGAUGAACCAUCCAUUAUGUUGGGAAGCGUCGUCACCUUAGAUGAGAGGUUAGCGCCAUCUCUGGGCCACCUCGCUUGAACUCCAAGGUGUACGCCACUGGGAGAAGCCUCAACAUGCCUGAACCAUCCACCAUGUUGGGAAGCGUCGUCACCUCGGACGAGAGGUCAGCACCAUCUCUAGGCCACCUUGCUUGAACUCCGAGGCGCACGCCACUUGCCUCCCUUUGGUGAGGCUAAAUGUCAUUGGGAGAAGCCUCAACAUGGAUGAAUCAUCCACCAUGUUGGGAACCAUCAUCACCUAGAAGGAAAGGUCAGCAUCCCAUCUCUUUACUACCUCGCUUGAACUCCGAGGCUCACGCAACUUGCCUCCCUUUGGUGAGGCUGAAUGUCAAGGGGAAAAGCCUCAACAAGGAUCGAACUUCUUUGCCCAUUGAUUCACAAAGCUCAACCACAAUGGGCUUCACGCACUACCUUUUCAAUCAGACAUAGCAAUGUUCUCAGUUCAGCUGAAAGACGGUCCAGUCUUAAGAUCUAUUCAGAUCACAGUUAUUAAGCUUAAUUAUAAUUUACUUGCUUAAGUCCAAUAUCAAUCAUGGUUCAUGUGGGUUAAGUACAAUUUACUUGCUUAAGUGAUUGGAGUUGUGAUAUCAAGUUAAAGUUAUUUAAUUCUUCAAUCAAUCUUAAGUUUGAUUACUUAACGAGGCCAAUGCACUUGGAAGAAGAACAACAUUGAAUGAAAAAGAUUAUAUUAAUUUUUAAUCAGUUACAAAAGGAGGGCCUGAGGUCAGUACAUCGAAAUUAACUGAAAAGUAAACUAUCUUAAGCCUCGGAUGAUGGCGGAGGUGCCUCGGCAGUAGGAGCCUCCGCAUCUUGAGCAUCAAAACUCCCUUUUUCUGCAUCCGCUGCUUCAUCUCCAACUGUUUCAUCAGCUGGGGUCUAAGGCACUUCAUCCACAAACUCCAACCUCAGCUAUGACGGGUCUUGAUUUGGGAAGAGUUCCUCAGCCCUCUCCAUCAUUUCGGUAUAAGCAUAAUUCCUCCAGUAGACACUGAAGCUUUUGUACUCCUCAGUGUUGUGGAAGUUGGCAAUGUAGUCUUUGUCUGUCUCCUUCCUCGCCACAUUGGCCUCCUCCUUUACCUUGGCCAAUUCAUCCACAUACCAUUUCAUUUGGCCAUCCAAGAAUUUGUAGGCAUCUUGGGCCCCAGCCAGCUGCAAAUUGGCCUUCUCCAAGGCCUCAGCAAUCACCUUUUGGUGGUUAUUGGAUACCUCCACUUUCUUAGUAAGGGAAGCCACCUCGCACUGGGAUUCAUAGACCUCCUACUUCAAGGCCUCAAUCUGAGCCAAAGCAGACUCCAGCUUGGCCGUAUCUUUGAUUUUUUGGGCCCUCCCUUCCUCUGCCUCGACCCUAGCCUUCUUUAGCUCCUCUGCAAGGGAGGUCACCUUCUUCUUUGAGGAUUAGGUCGUUGUCUGAAAAUCAGUAAGGGCCUCUCUGCACUCCAGUGCGAGGCCAAAAGUCCUCACACUUUGGCUCACAAGAGCCUUUGUCAAGUCCACCGAGUCGCAGGAAGAGGCAUGCAACUACUACCGGUCCUUCCAAAAUUUAUAGAAGCUCUCUGUAGCACUUUGGAUCUCGGCUGGCAGAGCCUCCACCAACGCCGGGGCCAGGACCUCCUUCUUCCCAGCAAAGAAGUUCAGGGAUUUCCCUUGCACUCUUGUGGGCCUCUACUUGGUAGCUUCAUCCUCUGCCUUCUCAGUAGCCCUCCUCGCAGCAGCCUCCUCAACAUUGGCAUGCCGCACCAUUUCAAUUUUCACUGCUUUUGAGGCGGCCUCCAGGAGCUUCGGCUGAGGCACUUCUUUUCCUUCGUGGGACACAGAGGUCCUGAACUUCCAAGAUGAGCUGGUGACGUGCACCAUCUUCCUUCUCUUUUGCUCCUCAAGGACCUUCUCCUUUCCUUGAGGGUCUUUGGCCUCUGAGGGGUCCCCUCCUCAGCAGCCCUGGAACUGCUAUCUUUGGAGAGUCACUCCGCCCUUCCCCGAACCUCCUUUACACCACUUGACCCUUGCUUCAGGGGCCUCAUCGUCACAUUGGAUGUGGCCCUAAGGAUAGAGGCCAUGUCCGGGGCUGGAUACUUCCUCCUCUUGAACUUGUGUGCAAAGCAGGUCAGUACAUCAGCAUUGAAAUAAAANCCCCAAGGCUCUUAGGCCUUCUCCGGCCUCUGAGGGGUCGCCUCCUCAGCAGCCCUGGAACUGCUAUCUUUGGAGAGUCACUCCGCCCUUCCCCGAACCUCCUUUGCACCACUUGACCCUUGCUUCAGGGGCCUCAUCGUCACAUUGGAUGUGGCCCUAAGGAUAGAGGCCAUGUCCGGGGCUGGAUACUUCCUCCUCUUGAACUUGUGUGCAAAGCAGGUCAGUACAUCAGCAUUGAAAUAAAAAGCAAGAAAUACACAAGUAUACAAGCCUCUUACCUUUGGAGGCCAUCAAUUCAAAGUCAAUGAAGUAGUGGCUUCGAUCGAUGAAGUGGUCGAAGUGCUGAAGUUUCAGAGGUCUCUUGUAAAUGUCUUCUAUCACUUCAAACUCCUCCUUGCUCAACUCGAACCUUGUACUACAAUCUGCACAGCAAGCCUCAACAAGUUAGAAAAAGAAAAUUUUGAAUACAUAAUGUAAACUACUUAGGCCGGGAGACUCACGAGUUUCGUAGUACUGGGUCAGUACUGUGCAAGCCAAGGUUGUGUCCCCCUCCACUGCCUACCACCUACCCCUCACUCAGAACCACAAUUCCUUCUAACCCUUGAUGGAAGAAGACAGCCCCACCACAAAUGGUGCGUGAGCUCCCCAAGGAGUUAACUAAUACCACCCCCUUAACUCCUUACCUGUCACCCUAGGCUGGAACAGGGUCAUGAAGACGUGGAGAGGCAUGUCCUCCCCAAGUGACACUUUCUUCCACAUGAAGUACAAACCAACCAACUGGCUCCACCCAUUUAGCAGAACCUGGGUCAGCGAAAACAUAAAGUUCCUUAGCACUGCCCUAAAGAAGAGGUGCAGAGAAAAAUGCAUACUUGCUUUAAACAGGUAUUCACUUACCCCCACGCAUUCGAGCCUCGGAUAGCAGGCGCGCUCAUGAGCCUCGGGCAUCAACAUUUCGACAUAAUGAGGUACACAGUACCUCUCCCUUUUCUUCCCCAGCCUCUUUAAAGUCAUAUUUGAAGGCACUCUAGACGCCCCCCACUCCUCACUAUAAUCUACUGGCUCCUCAAUCAUAGCAUAUUGCUCGACCUCGGGGUCCCCUUUGUGACUCGCCCUCUCGCCGAAUGACGCAACAGUUAUUAAUUCCUACCCGAUGUGGACUCUAUAUCAGAAAAGGAUGAACUCAAUGCAAGGGAUUUUCAGUGAAAAUACUUAUGGAAAAUGACUACACGAAUGAAGUAACGUCGAAAAAUGAGAAGAUCAACUAUUUGGACGCCGAAAAACUUGAGGUUUUUAAGAAGAAAUCAGAUUGCAAAGGUUGAAAAUCCAGAAAAAUGGGGGGCUCUCGUCUUUUAUAAAGGGCUAGGACGAACCCCAGUCAUCUGAUCAAAGCCCAUUGAAUCUGAACCCUUUAUUCUAAACCAAAUCCAAGGCGUAGAAUUCAAACGAUUUUUCAAACCUACGCUUCGGAUUCAAGCGUGUCCUCUACGCACCUCCCCAAAUGCGUCUGCUUCUAGAAGCUCCAGCUGUGCUCAUAAUUACAACUUUAAUUUGACGGCAGUAGACGCCUUGGAAGUUGAAUAGUCCAGCCACUUUCCUCAAAAAUAUGCGUAAAACAUCAAAUCAUUGGCACAACUAUCGAGGAACAAUCAUUACUAAUGAGCAUCAGAAUUCAGCCUUCACAAGCCUCGUAGGUUCGAUUCUCAACCACCUCGACUUCCUCAUCACAAUUCAGCCAUCAAGCCUCGCAGGUUUGGUUCUCACCCACCUCGAUUUCCUCAUCACAAUUGAGCCAUCAAGCUUCACAGAUUCGGUUCUCACCCACCUCGGCUUUCUCAUCACAAUUCAACCUCCACAAGCCUCGCAGGUUCGGUUCUCAAACCACCUCGGCUUCAUCAUUUUUCGUAACAAUUUUCAUCAUUCUUCCAUAACGGCACAUUUCUAACUCCAACCAUGAUAUAAAUAUCUAUACUUGGACUUGGGGGACUCUUAUUUAGGGUACAAAAAUUUCAAAAAUUUCUUUAAACCUAACUGGCUAGCCUUACUUCGUUAAAGUCCUCGCAUUAAACAAAUGACUAUACUUGGACUUGGGGACCAUUGUUACAUGUUUGCACACUUGGGAAACCCAUCGAGGCCCACAGCUAACUCAUGCCGAACCAUAUGGCACUCAAGCCGAGGUGAUUUACAUAGUCGAGGCUCACAACCGAGGUCCACAAAAGCCGAGGCCCAUAUAUACCGAGGCCCAUCUAUCAUUGCCUCUUGAGGAGUUACUGAAGUCCAUAUGCCGAGGCCUUUUGAAGGUGGACAAAGCCCUGUUGAUCGAAGCUCUGUGAUCGAGGUAAUAGCCUCCGAAUCACAAAGCAGCAUCUUCAAUAGAAGCUUCUCCCAAGAGAUCCUCUACACAAAGAUCUUACUUGAAUGAUUGAUAGAACGUUUGUCAUUAGUGUAAAUGUUAAGUCCUAUCAUUAGUAGAGGCGGCUUUGCCAAUCAAUAAAUGUAUAGUAGGCUAGGUGCGGCUAAUGCCUACAAUUUGACAUGUAAAUUAACCAGAUUAGGUCACGUGUACCCCGAACCAAAGGUCACGAUCUAACUUGUGACGGAAAAUUCUACUUGUACAUAAUUAUUACACAUAAUGGUAUCCAUAAUGUGAUGUGACAAUCAUCCGGUUAUUGAUGUGCAAGUGUGAGAUUUGAAUUAAAGGUUGGAUCCAGUGUCACGUGUAAUUAUGGACAUCAUUAUGUAGACAAUUAUAUACAUGUAGUACUUCCCAACUUGUGACACUAUAAAUACUCCACCAUGUAUCCCAUACAAAGGCUAAUGCAAGAAUCAAU
rnacentral:lncRNA from 1 species